UACGUAGGGUGCGAGCAUUGUCCGGAAUUAUUGGGCGUAAAGAGCUCGUAGGCGGCCUGUCACGUCGGAUGUGAAAGCCCGGGGCUUAACCCCGGGUCGGCAUUCGAUACGGGCAGGCUAGAGUUCGGUAGGGGAGAUCGGAAUUCCUGGUGUAGUGGUGAAAUGCGUAGAGAUCGGGAGGAACACCUGUGGCGAAGGCGGCCGGCUGGGGGUGCCCUGACGCUGAGGCGCGAAAGCGUGGGGAGCAAACAGG
rnacentral:rRNA from 1 species